GAUGCCAGAACCAAGAGAUCCGUUGUGGAAAGUUUUAACUAUUAUAUAGUACUCAGA
rnacentral:rRNA from 1 species